GAUGGGAUGAGGGCAUCUAGUUUAUGGUGUGAUUUCUACUACAUAUUAAGGAACUUGGAAAUUAUCCUGAAAGCAACAAGCAAUCUGUCUCCAGGGGCAGCAGGAUCAAGUAUGUAUUUAAUAAGAAAAAUAUGAAACCCUUCGGCCAGGUGCCUGUAAUCCUACCACUUUGGGAGGCUGAGGUGGGUGGAUCACUUGAGGUCAAGAGUUCAAGCCCAGGAGUUCAAGACCACCCUGGCCAACAGUGUAAAACCUUGUCUCCACUGGAUCAUGCCACUGCAUCCAGACUGGGCAACAGCGUGAGACCCCGUCUCAAAAAAAAAAAGAAAAGAAAAAGAAAAAUAUGGAACCCUUCGUGAAUCUGUGUCAUCCUUGUACUGAGGCCUUGCUAAUCUCUGUAUCUUUCCAAUUGUAGGGUAUCUACUACCAAAGGAGGCACUUGAAUAUUUUAAUCCAAAUUAUAUGAGGAAAAAAAGCUGGAAUUUCUAAUAUUUAAACCUAGUUGGCUCUAGUUUAAAGAUAUAAAUACGUACCUCACUUAAACACCAUGUAAAUAAAAUCUAAUUUAAGCACAAAUCCCUACUUGGCAAUGAUGAACUUCGUUUUAGCAUUAUAUUAUCUGUCAAAUUCUUUUACAUUAAAA
rnacentral:snRNA from 10 species